rnacentral:rRNA from 1 species
CACGUAGGGGGCGAGCGUUGUCCGGAUUUAUUGGGCGUAAAGAGCGUGUAGGCGGCCCGGUAAGUCCGUUGUGAAAGUCGAGGGCUCAACCCUCGAAUGCCGGCGGAUACUGUCGGGCUAGAAUCCGGAAGAGGCGAGUGGAAUUCCUGGUGUAGCGGUGAAAUGCGCAGAUAUCAGGAGGAACACCAAUGGCGAAGGCAGCUCGCUGGGACGGUAUUGACGCUGAGACGCGAAAGCGUGGGGAGCAAACAGG